GUCCACGCUGUAAACGAUGGAUGCUAGGUGUUGCGGGAGUUGACCCCCGCAGUGCCGACGCCAACGCAUUAAGCAUCCCGCCUGGGGAGUACGGUCGCAAGACUAAAACUCAAAGGAAUUGACGGGGGCCCGCACAAGCGGUGGAGCAUGUGGUUCAAUUCGACGCAACGCGAAGAACCUUACCUGGACUUGACAUGUGCAGAAUCCCCCUUGAAAGAGGGGAGUGCCCGCAAGGGAGCUGCAACACAGGUGCUGCAUGGCUGUCGU
rnacentral:rRNA from 1 species